rnacentral:rRNA from 1 species
AACGAAAGAGGGAGGAAGGAAGAACACAGGAAAGUCGAACGAGACCUUCGGGUCUAGUGGCGCACGGGUGCGUAACGCGUGGGAACCUGCCCUUAGGUUGGGAAUAACUCCCCGAAAGGGGUGCUAAUACCGGAUAAUGUCUUCGGACCAAAGAUUUAUCGCCUUUGGAUGGGCCCGCGUUUGAUUAGCUAGUUGGUAGGGUAAAAGCCUACCAAGGCGACGAUCCAUAGCUGGUCUGAGAGGAUGAUCAGCCACACUGGGACUGAGACACGGCCCAGACUCCUACGGGAGGCAGCAGUGGGGAAUAUUGGACAAUGGGCGAAAGCCUGAUCCAGCAAUGCCGCGGGAGUAAUAAAGGCCUUAGGGUUGUAAAGCUCUUUUACCCGGGAUGAUAAUGACAGUACCGGGAGAAUAAACUCCGGCUAACUCAGU